GAUGAACGCUGGCGGCGUGCCUAAUACAUGCAAGUCGAGCGAACAGACGAGGAGCUUGCUCCUUUGACGUUAGCGGCGGACGGGUGAGUAACACGUGGGUAACCUACCUAUAAGACUGGGAUAACUUCGGGAAACCGGAGCUAAUACCGGAUAAUAUUUCGAACCGCAUGGUUCGUUAGUGAAAGAUGGCUUUGCUAUCACUUAUAGAUGGACCUGCGCCGUAUUAGCUAGUUGGUAAGGUAACGGCUUACCAAGGCAACGAUACGUAGCCGACCUGAGAGGGUGAUCGGCCACACUGGAACUGAGACACGGUCCAGACUCCUACGGGAGGCAGCAGUAGGGAAUCUUCCGCAAUGGGCGAAAGCCUGACGGAGCAACGCCGCGUGAGUGAUGAAGGUCUUCGGAUCGUAAAACUCUGUUAUUAGGGAAGGACAAACGUGUAAGUAACUGUGCACGUCUUGACGGUACCUAAUCAGAAAGCCACGGCUAACUACGUG
rnacentral:rRNA from 1 species